ACUUCAGGACGGGGACAACAGUUGGAAACGACUGCUAAUACCCGAUGUGCCGCAAGGUGAAAACUAAUUGGCCUGAAGAAGAGCUUGCGUCUGAUUAGCUAGUUGGUGGGGUAAGAGCCUACCAAGGCGACGAUCAGUAGCUGGUCUGAGAGGAUGAGCAGCCACACUGGGACUGAGACACGGCCCAGACUCCUACGGGAGGCAGUAGUGGGGAAUUUUCCGCAAUGGGCGAAAGCCUGACGGAGCAACGCCGCGUGAGGGAGGAAGGUCUUUGGAUUGUAAACCUCUUUUCUCAAGGAAGAAGUUCUGACGGUACUUGAGGAAUCAGCCUCGGCUAACUCCGUGCCAGCAGCCGCGGUAAUACGGGGGAGGCAAGCGUUAUCCGGAAUUAUUGGGCGUAAAGCGUCCGCAGGUGGUCAGCCAAGUCUGCCGUCAAAUCAGGUUGCUUAACGACCUA
rnacentral:rRNA from 1 species